GACGAACGCUGGCGGCGCGCUUAACACAUGCAAGUCGAACGGAAAGGCCUGCUUUCCCUUGUGGAUUGCGGGUACUCGAGUGGCGAACGGGUGAGUAACACGUGAGUGAUCUGCCCCCAACUUGGGUAUAAGCCUGGGAAACUGGGUCUAAUUCCCGAUAGGACUGCAGGGUGGUGCCUGUGGUGGAAAACGAUUUUCUAGUGGUUGGGGAUGAGCUCGCGGCCUAUCAGCUUGUUGGUGGGGUAAUGGCCUACCAAGGCGGCGACGGGUAGCCGGCCUGAGAGGGUGGACGGCCACAUUGGGACUGAGAUACGGCCCAGACUCCUACAGGAGGCAGCAGUGGGGAAUAUUGCACAAUGGGCGGAAGCCUGAUGCAGCGACGCCGCGUGGGGGAUGACGGCCUUCGGGUUGUAAACUCCUUUCGACCGCGAGGAAGCCACCUGGUUGGAAGGGUGGUGACGGUAGUGGUAGAAGAAGCACCGGCUAACUACGUG
rnacentral:rRNA from 1 species